rnacentral:misc_RNA from 1 species
CUGCGUUCCGUCGCCCGCGAUACUUACAUCCGCUUUCCUUCGGCCUCGUCUACCACUUUGUUGCUGUUUCCGUGUGCCGACGUUGUCGCGGUGGUGGAUUGCAACUCCGCGCCAUCUCAGUUGCAGCCUUGGCCCCGCCCCUGUGCCGUCAUCCAUCCCCUGGCUCGCUGACAGAGUCGUCAUCGCCAACGGCCACCCGUUUCUCUGCGUCGCGCGUUCUUGUGGUUUCGUGAAUGUAACUUUCCCCCCCCCCCUCCCCCUCCUCCUUCCUUGCUCUUCACGCUCUCAUCUGUGUGUGUGUGUGUGUGUGCCGUCUUGUCCGCUGACUCUGUUCCACGCCGGCGUACGUGGGACUGCAAGCGCACGCACGCGUGCGCUUCACGAUCUCUCUCUCUCCCCUAUCCGUUUCGCCCUCCGCUAUCAUUUCCGUGUGUCAUUGGUCUGCUACAUACAUGUGUGUGCGUGUGCGUGUGCGUGUGCGUGUUUUAUUUUGCUUUUCGGGCUGUCGCUUGACUGCUUUUCCGCCGCCUGCGCCGUUCGUCGUCGUCUCCCGCUUCCUCUCUCGCGCCGGUGCCCUACGUCUCUGCGGCACUGGAACGCGUGUAUCUUGUUCGACGUGCUCCCUGGUGUGCUCGCAACGAAACCGGCAGCAUACGUGCGAACCCCUUGGCGUGGUGCGGUGGUCUGACUGGCUGUCGCAGCCGCAAGAGCCAGGAAAAGCGCACUUGCUCGCGGCAAUCACACGCACACGGUCCGUGGCAACGACGACGACGACAUACGUACACGUCAGGCACAGCGACGGUUUCGUUUCCCUUUUCGUUUUGCACACUUCUCUCUCUUUCCUGCAGUAUAAAGAAGGGGAAGGAGAUUGAAGGGCUUGUUGCUGUGUGUGGGUGUGUGUCCUGCUGCGCUGCACGCUCUUGUAUUCCCUCCUCCGCUUCGGCGGCGUUCGGCUCUCUCCUCUCCUCUCGCACUCCGCACACGCCCGCUUCUCUGGCGCUUGCUCAGCGUGGCUUCUCACACGUAGGAGCGCACACGCACACACAGAGAGGGCGCAAUACGGGCGAGGGAAGGCGGCGGCGGGGAACGUGGCGGUGGGGGGAGCGGAGGAGGGGGGAGGGGCAAGAUGGAGCACCGACCGCGACCGGAGCGGACGUUUGCACAGGCGAGGUACGUUAACAAGUCCCACCCAGCGACGGCCACGUUCCCGGCCGCCUGCAACAUUUUCGCGAGCGUGUCGAGUGGCGGCUCGAUGGCGUUGAACCUCCUGCGCGUGGCGGUGCCGGCGUUGGCGUUGGUGAUGCUCGUUUUGUGGAUAGCGCGGUUUGUCGUGAUGCACAUCGAGGCACGGCGGAUGCGGCAGCAAGCGACCCACUGGAGAACGCUGCCGAGUUACACCGAGGUGCAAGCCAUGGCGGCCGCCCUGCGGCCAACGCGUCCAACUUCGUCGCAGGAGGCAGCAGAGGAUACCACGCCUGCAGCAGCGGCUGAAGCUGGAGAUGAGGUGCACUGCAUCAUCUGCUUCUCCACCGUCGUUGACCACCCCGUGGAGCUGCUGCCGUGUGGUCAUCAGCAGUUCUGCGCCCGCUGUCUCGUGCAGAUAUGGCAGUGCUCCGGGAUUUACCGGCGGCUUCGGUGCCCGCUGUGCCGACAACCUGCAGAACUCGCGUGCCCCGUGCCCGUCGCCAACUCGAAGCCCUCUGUCGAUGAUGUGCUGCUCUUGCAGAACUACAACGGCGGCUUCUGUGGCACGAAGAAGGUGUCACUGUUAGACUGCUGCGUGCUGCGACUGCGCGUCAUUACACACGCGCGUCUGCUGCCUAUCGUUAUCGGGCUCCGCAUCGCCGUUCUCCACGCCACCAUGUUUGCCUACAUGCUCAUGCCGACAAGCCUGACGGAGGUAGUCGAUGGCGCCGUACAGCAGCAGCAGGCCGUCAAGCCCAACGUGCCCUCGUCGGCCCUCGCCGCCGCAUACGCCAGCGUCGUGCACGUCUUCACCGUUGUCGUGUACACCGCCGCGAGGUACGCGGACGACUUCUUUCUCGUAGCAGUCAGUAUCAUUCUCACAGGCCACCUCCUGCAGAGCGCGCUGUUCAAGGAUCUCAAGCUCUAGCCGCCGUCUCGGAAGGGAGUUGAAGGCUGCGCGCGUGUAAUUAGCAUUAACGCCCAGCCCAGCCCCCCCCCCCCCGCUCUCCCCGCCUCGCCUCGCCAGCUCUGUUCGAUAGCUGCUGUCGACAUGUGUUUCUCGCUCGCUUCGCUCAGCUGCGUGGGGAGGACGUGCGCACGAGCAGAUCUGCACCCGUCCACUUCCCCGCCCGAAGCCGAGGAAGUCGCUCACGUGGUUCCCCUGCGCUUUUCCUUGGUUCACCAAGACCGAAUGUACACUUCUGCGCCAAAAACUCGUCGUCGUUUUGCCUUGGAUGUUCCACGGAGUAAUGGUGAUGAGAGUGUGCGCGCACGCCUGGUUCGCCUUCCCGUAACGCGGUUCCCUUCACCGAGCUCUCGCAGAGGCUUGCGAAGACACAUGGAAGUGAGGCAGCACAUCCCUCUCUUGGUCGAGCGUCUGAAACGGCGAUUGCGCGCGCCAACUGUCGCGGCGGCCUUUGCCGCCCCGCACGGCAUGUUCACGCGAAACUGCACCGCGGAGGGCCGAGGCGCCGGCCCUCAGCAACCCUCCACCACCCCAACCGACACCGCCAUCACACCACCGCCCCCUUCCAGAGCGCUGCGCCACCCACCAACCCGAACGCCGCGGCGGUGGCGCUGGGCCCGCGACCAACGUCCCCGGCCAGGGGCCGGCAAACCCCCCCCUCCCUUGGCCCCAACCGAUGGGCAUGCCGCCAGGGCCACCCACGGCCCCACCAAGGCGCCCCCCCCCCAAGGUCGCCCAACAUGGCGGCCACCAAACCGACUGCACCCGCACGCCCCCCUACCCCAUGCGUGCCCUCAGAAACCCAUGCCAGCCGAUCAGUUUAAACUUUCAAGUGGAACCCGCGAGAUGACUCCGCAUCAAACGCUGCCCUAGCUGUGUGUGUCUCCCUAUCUUUCGCCUUGACAGUAAUCAUGAUUGGACUGGUUGUGAGCACAGGGCAAUUGUACUUUGAUCAAAGUGCUACUCCACAUGUCUCGGUGUUGAGCUUGUAGAAAAA